GGGGGCUGCAAGCGAAGGCCGUGAGGCAGAGCGGAGGCUUCUGAGCCCAUCGAGGCACAGAACAACACUGGUGGGCACAAACGGUGGGCUCUGUGGCAGAGUGUUUUGCUUUUGUGGCCCUGUCUGCCCGCUUGGCUCAGUGGCAGAAAACCCCAAUCCUGGCAUCUGAGGAGGCUGGUUGCUAUAGUUACAGUCCCUGCGAAUCAGGGGCUGCACCUGCUCCAGGAGCUGCUUGAACAGCAUAAAAUCACGCUCCUGCCUGCGGAUGGUGGCCAAGUAAUCGA